CUCACUUUAUUUACUUGGUAUUGGGUAUUUGUCAAUGUCAUUUCAUAUCUGCAGAAAAUUCAUACAUUCUAUGGAAGUAUGUAUGUGUGUGAGUGUGCUGAAGGUCACAUGACUGUUUCAUCCUAUUUGGUGGAGCAGCUUGACUUUUUUUUCCUUGCUUUUGGUGAUGGUUGUGAGUGCAGAAGUUGAUUGACAGAUGCAUGCCAGAAACCCCCAUUCUCCUUUUCAAAGACUACAUAUGAUGGAUUGCGAUCUUUCAGCUCAGCAGGACACAGGGACCAUGCAAGCUGUAAUUGGUCAGGAUCCAAUGAUAGCUGGACAAGUCAGUAAGCCCUUGCUGUCACUGCAGAGUGAAAUGAAUGCAGAGUUGAGAGGUGAGGACAAGGCAGCUACUUCAGACAACGAGCUGAAUGAGCCCCUGCUUGCGCCUGUGGAAUCAAAUGACAGCGAGGACACUCCCAGCAAGCUCUUCGAGGCCAGAGGAAACACAGUGCUGCCUGACACGAGCCCAGCAGACCAGCACCAACCCAGUCAGUCCCAUCCUGCAUUCCCUGUUGGGCCUCAGCCACUCCUGACAGCCCAACAGUUAGCCUCAGCAGUAGCAGGGGUGAUGCCAGGAGGCACUCCAGCCCUGAAUCAGCCGAUCCUUAUUCCUUUCAACAUGGCUGGGCAGCUGGGGGGCCAACAAGGGCUCGUCCUAACUCUGCCUACUGCAAAUCUCACCAAUAUCCAAGGGCUGGUAGCAGCAGCUGCAGCAGGAGGCAUCAUGACUUUGCCAUUGCAAAAUCUACAAGCUACCUCAUCCCUGAAUUCCCAGCUUCAACAGCUUCAGCAUCUUCAGCAGCUCCAGCACCAACAGCAGCAGCAGCAAAGCCAGCAGCAGCAGCAAGGUCAGCAGGCACAGACUCCACAGCCACCCCAGCAGACCCAGCAGCCACAGCCACAGCCGUCAGCACCACCGCAGCAAAACCAAACCCAGUCUCAGAGCCAGAGCCAACCGCCUCUGGCCUCACAGUCCUCCAGCUCCCCACAGAAACCCAGCCAGUCCCCAGGGCAUGGCCUUCCAUCUCCUCUUACUUCACCAAAUCCAUUGCAGCUGGUUAAUAAUCCACUAGCAAGUCAAGCAGCAGCGGCUGCAGCAGCAGCAGCCAUGGGCUCAAUAGCGAGCUCCCAGGCCUUUGGCAAUGCCCUCUCCAGUCUUCAGGGGGUCACAGGUCAACUCGUCACUAAUGCACAGGGACAGAUUAUUGGAACAAUCCCACUGAUGCCUAACCCAGUCCCCUCCAGCCAAGCAGCAGGUGGAGCUCAGGGCCUUCAGGUGCAGCCGAUAACUCCGCAGUUAUUGACCAAUGCCCAGGGUCAGAUCAUCGCUACCGUCAUUGGCAACCAGAUACUCCCAGUGAUCAAUACCCAGGGAAUAACACUAUCACCACUCAAACCAGGCCAGCAGCUCCAUCAGCCCUCCCAGACGCAAGUGGGACAAGCAGCCUCACAAUCCAAUCUCCUGCAUUUGGCUCACAGUCAAGCAUCUAUGUCUCAAAGCCCAGUGCGUCAGGCUUCCUCUUCUUCCUCCUCAUCCUCCUCCUCUUCAGCUUUGAGUGUUGGCCAGUUAGUCAGCAAUCCUCAGACAGCCACGGGAGAGGUGGAUGGGGUGAAUCUGGAAGAAAUCCGAGAGUUUGCCAAAGCUUUUAAAAUCCGGCGCCUGUCCCUUGGCCUGACACAGACUCAAGUUGGCCAAGCCCUAAGCGCCACGGAAGGCCCAGCCUAUAGCCAGUCUGCCAUCUGCAGACACACCAUCCUGAGAAGCCACUUUUUCCUACCACAGGAAGCCCAAGAGAACACUAUAGCUAGCAGUCUGACAGCCAAACUGAACCCUGGCCUUUUGUAUCCUGCCAGGUUUGAAAAGCUGGACAUCACCCCUAAAAGUGCCCAGAAGAUAAAGCCGGUGCUUGAGCGGUGGAUGGCUGAGGCUGAGGCCCGCCAUCGAGCAGGUAUGCAGAACCUUACCGAGUUUAUUGGAAGCGAACCAUCCAAAAAGCGCAAGAGGCGCACCUCAUUCACGCCACAAGCCCUUGAAAUCUUGAAUGCCCACUUUGAGAAGAACACGCACCCCUCUGGGCAAGAAAUGACAGAGAUUGCAGAGAAACUGAACUAUGACCGGGAAGUAGUUAGAGUUUGGUUCUGCAAUAAGAGGCAAGCACUGAAGAACACAAUUAAACGUUUGAAACAACACGAGCCUGCGACAGCAGUUCCUAUGGAGCCUUUAACAGACUCUCUGGAAGAAAACUCCUAAAAACAAAACUAAACCAAACCACACACAAAACAAAACCCCUGCACCAACAGAAACGUAACCAUUUGAACUCUGUGAAAAUACCUGUUCAUCACCCUUGAGGAUGUGUUUCUCCAGGUCUUUGCUGUGACCACUGGCUAGACUAAGCUAUCAGGAUAUAGAGAAACCCACUGAAUCUCCUUUGGGAAUUGUAAGGUGGGCCACCUGCAAUAUGUAACAAGUGAAUUGAUUUUCCUUUAAAGACAGUGUAUCUCUGUGGCUUCUCUUUUGACUGGACAAACAUCUUCUAAACUACUGUGAUUAUUGGACCUAUGAGUAUAUCAAGGCUCAGAGGGACAGAGAGGUGUUGCAGGUUCUUGAUGGGGUAUGGGCUGACCUGUGAAUGUCACCUGCAGUUUUCCUCUUCUGCUGAGUUCUGCUUCAGCCUUUGGGGUUCAGCCCGCUAUUAGGGUAGAAGCUGCAUCUCAAUCAGGACUUUCCAAAAGAGUACUUUGGGGAUUUGGUUCACCUCACUAUAGAGGUGGCAGAGUAAAAUUCUGCUGGUACAAUUCCUAAUUGCAUUCACUAACCACAGGAUGGUUGUACUGGAUUUUUGCUGGUCUGCGCAGGGUGUUGAAGGAUGUUCCCAAAGUGCUGGAGUCUUCAAAUAACAUCUCUCUUAUACAGUUCUCGAGAAAUCAAGGCUGUAUACAAACCUUAAGUGAAAGAAAGGGACUUCCAUUGAUUUCACUAGGCUUUGAAUCCGGCCUUGCUACUUUAUUAAUGGGGUUUGCCUUGUAGAAUGGCGUGGUUGGUGGAGCUUUAAGGUUUCAGAGACCAUCAUCUGUGCCAGAAACUGCCUCUAAAUGUGAGCACUCUCAAAGGUCAGAGUUGGAGAGCACUGAGGGUCCAGUACUCUGGGCUGGGCUCAUGUCCAGCGAAUGCAUUUUAGGCUUUAAGCUUCAGUAGGGUAUGUUUAAGGAUAUUUUCAGUAUUGCUUUUAUGUGGAGGAGAGUGAGAAUUUUUAUUGACUCUUCCGACUGUUGAUAUAUAAAUAUCUGCCAGGGAAUAAAAAAUCUCAGUAACCACAGACAAAUUGUGAGAGACAAAAAAGAUGCUUUACCCAAGCUGAGCACAUGAAGUAAAGAGUUGUACCACAACAUCUGCCUCUUUGGGUUUUCUUUUUUCCCUCUGUAUCCAUAGAUACCUAUAUCUGCAGAUCUGUCUAUGUUAUCUAUACCAGACAGCCCUAAACUUGUGGCCACAGCUCACUUUACAUAACGUUCAGGAAAGCACCCAGAAGCCAACAGGGAAUCAACGAAGAACGGAUCAUAUCUGGAAGCGGAUGCUCCUGAAGUCCUACCCAUGUCUCCAGCACGCUGGUAACUGUCCAGUCAUUAAUGCCGUAUACACCAUUACCUGUUCAGCUACCCUUGAGACUGUACAUCACCUCCUCUUGUACACCCCCAUCUCCAACAGCCUGGGAACAAAAACAUCAACCAGUCUUUGCCUAAAAACUGAAUUUCAAAUUCUCCCAGGGACUGCUCUAAAUUUUGUGAGGAGAAAUCCCCCAAGAACAAAAGUUAACUAAACAGCAUAGAAAAGAUACUAAAUGUUUAAAACUACACUGGCAGCAAUUACAUAAGCUCCUUUCUGUUCCAAAGUACAUAUGGGAAGGCUAUAAGUAGGGCAGGGAAAAUGUAAGGUAAAUAUAAACCGCCGGCUUGGAAGAAAAACCCAGUGUUCAUCCCACAGUCUUAAAACCAUUCAUGUGCAGUGAUUUUUUUUUACAGUUUUCUAAUUUUGUAUUAUGUUUUGUAAAUUAUUUCUAAGGUGUUGUAAUGCUUCUUAUAUUAAUUUUUUUAUAAACAGAUUUUUGCUAUGAGGCAUAAAUGGUGCCUGAACAGAUUCUUAGGAAGAUAAAUUACGUGUGAGUUGGACAUCUAGGGGGUUGGGGAGGGGGGAACAUAAAUAUUGUGUUUUAUUUUGCUACUUGCAACAUUUCUGGUUCCCAUUUGUAAACAAUUCUCAUGUAGCGAUUACAUUUGAAUACCUUUUAAUUUUGCAUGUGACUAAAAGAUAGAUUGCUACCAGCAAAUGAAACAAAUGUCUCUUCAGUCAUAUGUGAAGGUUUGAUGGUUUUCCAAUUUAUUGAUCAUUGAAUUUUUAAAUAUAUAUAUAUAUGAAAUUAUUAUUUGAAGAAUGAACCAAGGGUUCACUUACUGUUCUGAUUUUGUCUUUUUAUGUUUUUCACUAAAAAAGCUAUUUUGGACAGUUGAAGAAAUCAGAUGCAUUCAAAUGAUUCCAAUUUCUUUAUGUUAUUACCAAAAAUAAUGAAAAAAAAAAAAAAAAGAAAAAAAAAGAAGAGAGAGAGAGAGAAAGAAAGAAAAAAAAGAGAGAACAAGAAAGCAAAAAGGAGCUAGGAAGGAACAAGUAGAGGCGUAUCAAAGAACUCAAGCUAUAACCAAAAAGAAAUAUGUAAAAUGCCUUUGCUCGUCUUCUCAAUGCUGGACCAAAGCUCAAUGUAUGUAGGUAUAUGCACAUUGUAUAGAUAUGGCUAAAUGUUGCUGACAAUCUCGCAAUACUAAACUGUUACUAUUAUAAAAAAAAAAAAAGGAAAAAAAAAGAAAAAAGAAAAGAACUACAAAAAUGAAACUGUUCAUCAGUGUUUUACCUCAGCACUCUACUUGUACCCAGUUAUUGACCAACAUUCAAAUAAGAAGCUAAGAGAGGAAAUUGAUUUCCAUGUCAAUGUUUGACUGUAAAAUCUGUUUGGAAAACAUUUUGUAAUGAGCUUUUUGUCAUGUGGUUUGCUUGUUUCCAACUUGAGAUUAUGUGGGGCACAUCUGUUUAUUUAUUGUUAAAAAGUGAUAUUAUUAUUAUUAAUUAUUAUUAUUACUAUUAUUAUUAUUAUUUUUGUCCUAUGUGCUAUAAUCUACAGAAUGGUCACCAGGGUCACUUAUGAAGCACUGCAAAGAGAUCAUGUUUUUCCAUGCAUGGAGCAUGCAGCAGGAAAGAUGGCAGUACAAAACGGACUGUAUUGUGUUGUUAACAAAUACGAAUAACUACAAAAAGGAGUUGAUGUGGUGGACUUGUGACCAAGAAACCAAACAGGAUAUUUAAAAGCUCCUUACUACUCUGACUUUGAAACCAAAGCUGAUUUAUCUGCACAGGUUGCUUAACAUGAAAAAAACAUAAAAAAUAAAAAAACUGACAAAAACUGUACUUAAUCUAGAGCAAUAUCUGUAUGGUCAGUAAAGCUGCACUUUGUGUAUUUCUUAACAGCUUCAGAUCUGUCACUUUUAAUUUGUACCAUAAAAAAUAAAGAAUUGUUUGACAUGAAAAAUAA